UGCAAGUCGAGCGGUAGAGAGAAGCUUGGCUUCUCUUGAGAGCGGCGGACGGGUGGGUAAUAGCCUAGGAAUCUGCCUAGGUAGUGGGGGAUAACGUUCGGAAACGGACGCUAAUACCGCAUACGUCCUACGGGAGAAAGCAGGGGACCUUCGGGCCUUGCGCUAUCAGAUGAGCCUAGGUCGGAUUAGCUAGUUGGUGAGGUAAUGGCUCACCAAGGCGACGAUCCGUAACUGGUCUGAGAGGAUGAUCAGUCACACUGGAACUGAGACACGGUCCAGACUCCUACGGGAGGCAGCAGUGGGGAAUAUUGGACAAUGGGCGAAAGCCUGAUCCAGCCAUGCCGCGUGUGUGAAGAAGGUCUUCGGAUUGUAAAGCACUUUAAGUUGGGAGGAAGGGCAGUUGCCUAAUACGUAACUGUUUUGACGUUACCGACAGAAUAAGCACCGGCUAACUCUGUGCCAGCAGCCGCGGUAAUACAGAGGGUGCAAGCGUUAAUCGGAAUUACUGGGCGUAAAGAGCUCGUAGGCGGUUUGUCGCGUCGUCUGUGAAAUUCUGCAACUCAAUUGCAGGCGUGCAGGCGAUACGGGCAGACUUGAGUACUACAGGGGAGACUGGAAUUCCUGGUGUAGCGGUGAAAUGCGCAGAUAUCAGGAGGAACACCGGUGGCGAAGGCGGGUCUCUGGGUAGUAACUGACGCUGAGGAGCGAAAGCGUGGGUAGCGAACAGGAUUAGAUACCCUGGUAGUCCACGCCGUAAACGGUGGGUACUAGGUGUGGGUUCCAUUUCACGGGAUCCGUGCCGUAGCUAACGCAUUAA
rnacentral:rRNA from 1 species